rnacentral:pre_miRNA from 1 species
UUAAGCUGAGAAGUACAGACUGUUUGACCAACAUUAAGUCUGUACGUCUCAGCUUAACG